rnacentral:rRNA from 1 species
AUACGGAGGGUGCAAGCGUUGUUCGGAAUCACUGGGCGUAAAGGGCGCGCAGGCGGUUUUACAAGUCAGAUGUGAAAGCCCACGGCUUAACCGUGGAAGUGCAUUUGAAACUGUAAGACUUGAGUAUCAGAGGGGAAGGUGGAAUUCCCGGUGUAGAGGUGAAAUUCGUAGAUAUCGGGAGGAAUACCGGUGGCGAAGGCGACUUUCUGGCUGAAUACUGACGCUGAGGCGCGAAAGCGUGGGGAGCAAACAGGAUUAGAAACCCCUGUAGUCC